AACAGGAUUAGAUACCCGGGUAGUCCACGCCGUAAACGAUGAAUACUAAGUGUUGGAGGGUUUCCGCCCUUCAGUGCUGCAGCUAACGCAUUAAGUAUUCCGCCUGGGGAGUACGACCGCAAGGUUGAAACUCAAAGGAAUUGACGGGGGCCCGCACAAGCGGUGGAGCAUGUGGUUUAAUUCGAAGCAACGCGAAGAACCUUACCAGGUCUUGACAUCUUCUGCCAGGCUGAGAGAUCAGCUGUUCCCUUCGGGGACAGAAUGACAGGUGGUGCAUGGUUGUCGUCAGCUCGUGUCGUGAGAUGUUGGGUUAAGUCCCGCAACGAGCGCAACCCUUAUGUUCAGUUGCCAGCAUUCAGUUGGGCACUCUGGACAGACUGCCGGUGACAAACCGGAGGAAGGCGGGGAUGACGUCAAAUCAUCAUGCCCCUUAUGACCUGGGCUACACACGUGCUACAAUGGGUGGUACAACGAGCAGCGAGACCGCGAGGUCAAGCGAAUCUCUAAAAACCAUCCUCAGUUCGGAUUGCAGGCUGCAACUCGCCUGCAUGAAGCUGGAAUCGCUAGUAAUCGCGGAUCAGCACGCCGCGGUGAAUACGUUCCCGGGCCUUGUACACACCGCCCGUCACACCAUGAGAGUUUGUAACACCCAAAGCCGGUGGGACAACCGUAAGGAGUCAGCCGUCUAANGUGGGACAAAUGAUUAGGGUGAAGUCGUAACAAGGUAACC
rnacentral:rRNA from 1 species